rnacentral:rRNA from 1 species
GCACAAGCGGUGGAGCAUGUGGUUAAUUCGACGCAACGCGAAGAACCUUACCAGGGCUUGACAUCCCCUGACCGCGUAUGAAAGUACGUUUUCACCCUCGGGUGACAGGGAGACAGGUGGUGCAUGGUUGUCGUCAGCUCGUGUCGUGAGAUGUUGGGUUAAGUCCCGCAACGAGCGCAACCCCUACGUUUAGUUGCUAACGCGUGAAGGCGAGCACUCUAGACGAACUGCCGUUGACAAAACGGAGGAAGGUGGGGAUGACGUCAAAUCAUCAUGCCCCUUAUGUUCUGGGCUACACACGUGCUACAAUGGCCGGUACAGACGGACGCAAAGCCGCGAGGUGGAGCAAAUCCUAAAAAGCCGGUCUCAGUUCGGAUUGCAGGCUGCAAUUCGCCUGCAUGAAGCCGGAAUCGCUAGUAAUCGCGGAUCAGCAUGCCGCGGUGAGUACGUUCCCGGGCCUU